rnacentral:rRNA from 1 species
AUUGAACGCUGGCGGCAUGCAUUACACAUGCAAGUCGAACGGUAACAGGUUAAGCUGACGAGUGGCGAACGGGUGAGUAAUGCAUCGGAACGUGCCCGGUCGUGGGGGAUAACGCAGCGAAAGCUGCGCUAAUACCGCAUACGAUCUGAGGAUGAAGGCGGGGGACCGUAAGGCCUCGCGCGAUCGGAGCGGCCGAUGUCAGAUUAGGUAGUUGGUGGGGUAAAGGCUCACCAAGCCGACGAUCUGUAGCUGGUCUGAGAGGACGACCAGCCACACUGGGACUGAGACACGGCCCAGACUCCUACGGGAGGCAGCAGUGGGGAAUUUUGGACAAUGGGCGCAAGCCUGAUCCAGCAAUGCCGCGUGCAGGAAGAAGGCCUUCGGGUUGUAAACUGCUUUUGUACGGAGCGAAAAGGCUCUCUCUAAUACGGAGGGCUCAUGACGGUACCGUAAGAAUAAGCACCGGCUAACUCCGUGCCAGCAGCCGCAGUAA